UGGGGAAUAUUGCACAAUGGGGGAAACCCUGAUGCAGCGACGCCGCGUGAGUGAGGAAGUAUUUCGGUAUGUAAAGCUCUAUCAGCAGGGAAGAAAAUGACGGUACCUGACUAAGAAGCCCCGGCUAACUACGUGCCAGCAGCCGCGGUAAUACGUAGGGGGCAAGCGUUAUCCGGAUUUACUGGGUGUAAAGGGAGUGUAGACGGAAUAGCAAGUCUGAUGUGAAAACCCGAGGCUCAACCACGGGAGUGCAUUGGAAACUGUUAAUCUAGAGUGUCGGAGAGGCAAGCGGAAUUCCUAGUGUAGCGGUGAAAUGCGUAGAUAUUAGGAGGAACACCAGUGGCGAAGGCGGCUUGCUGGACGAUGACUGACGUUGAGGCUCGAAAGCGUGGGGAGCAAACAGGAUUAGAUACCC
rnacentral:rRNA from 1 species